UACGAAGGAUCCAAGCGUUAUCCGGAUUUAUUGGGUUUAAAGGGUGCGUAGGCGGGUUAUUAAGUCAGUGGUGAAAGCCUGCAGCUUAACUGCAGAAUUGCCAUUGAUACUGAUGAUCUUGAGUAUGAUUGAGGUGGGCGGAAUGUGUCAUGUAGCGGUGAAAUGCUUAGAUAUGACACAGAACACCGAUUGCGAAGGCAGCUCACUAAGUCAUAACUGACGCUGAUGCACGAAAGCGUGGGGAGCAAACAGG
rnacentral:rRNA from 1 species